AUUGAACGCUGGCGGCAUGCCUAACACAUGCAAGUCGAACGGUAACAGGCCCUUCGGGGUGCUGACGAGUGGCGGAUGGGUGAGUAAUACUUAGGAAUCUACCCUGUAGUGGGGGACAACCCGGGGAAACUCGGGCUAAUACCGCAUACGCUCUACGGAGGAAAGCGGGGGACCGGCAAGGCCUCGCGCUAUUGGAUGAGCCUAAGCCCGAUUAGCUAGUUGGUGGGGUAAUGGCCUACCAAGGCAAUGAUCGGUAGCUGGUCUGAGAGGACGACCAGCCACACUGGGACUGAGACACGGCCCAGACUCCUACGGGAGGGCAGCAGUGGGGAAUAUUGGACAAUGGGCGAAAGCCUGAUCCAGCGAUGCCGCGUGUGUGAAGAAGGCCUGCGGGGUUGU
rnacentral:rRNA from 1 species